rnacentral:misc_RNA from 1 species
CUAAAUAACAAAGAACAAAAAAGAAGUGCAGGAAGAAGGAAUGGUUUAAGUGGAAGCUUUCUUGGAAUGGUUUAAGGGGAGAAUUAAAAGGGGAGGCAGUGAUCAAAAAUGGAGGAAGGGGAGGCUAGCUAUGGGGUGAGGACUGGGUUACAUGAAGAGAAAGCUAUUUUAACCUUAGGGACAUAGCUGGGUUUUAGAUGGAACUCGUGUGAAGUUCAAUGAUUUUAGUUCAACAAAUUAAAGUUGAAUAACAAAAAUGAA